GAUGAACGCUGGCGGCGUGCCUAAUACAUGCAAGUCGAACGAAACUUCUUUAUCACCGAGUGCUUGCACUCACCGAUAAAGAGUUGAGUGGCGAACGGGUGAGUAACACGUGGGCAACCUGCCCAAAAGAGGGGGAUAACACUUGGAAACAGGUGCUAAUACCGCAUAACCAUAGUUACCGCAUGGUAACUAUGUAAAAGGUGGCUAUACUACCGCCUUUGGAUGGGCCCGCGGCGCAUUAGCUAGUUGGUAGGGUAAAGGCUUACCAAGGCAAUGAUGCGUAGCCGAAUUGAGAGGGUGAUCGGCCACAUUGGGACUGAGACACGGCCCAAACUCCUACGGGAGGCAGCAGUAGGGAAUCUUCCACAAUGGGCGAAAGCCUGAUGGAGCAACGCCGCGUGGGUGAAGAAGGUCUUCGGAUCGUAAAACCCUGUUGUUAGAGAAGAAAGUGCGUGAGAGUAACUGUUCACGUUUCGACGGUAUCUAACCAGAAAGCCACGGCUAACUACGUG
rnacentral:rRNA from 1 species